rnacentral:rRNA from 1 species
GACGAACGCUGGCGGCGUGCCUAAUACAUGCAAGUUGAGCGCUGAAGGUUGGUACUUGUACCAACUGGAUGAGCAGCGAACGGGUGAGUAACGCGUGGGGAAUCUGCCUUUGAGCGGGGGACAACAUUUGGAAACGAAUGCUAAUACCGCAUAAAAUCUUUAAACACAAGUUUUAAGUUUGAAAGAUGCAAUUGCAUCACUCAAAGAUGAUCCCGCGUUGUAUUAGCUAGUUGGUGAGGUAAAGGCUCACCAAGGCGAUGAUACAUAGCCGACCUGAGAGGGGGAUCGUCGACAUUGGGAGUGGGAGACGGCCCAAACGCCGACGGGAAGAAGCAGUAGGGAAUCAUCGGAAAUGGACGAAAGGCUGACCGGGCAACGCCGCGUGAGUGAAGAAGGUUUUCGGGUCGUAAAACUCUGUUGGUAGAGAAGGAAGUGGGUGAGAGUGGAAAGCUCAUCAAGUGACGGUAACUACACAGAAAGGGACGGCUAACUACGUG